rnacentral:tRNA from 1 species
UCCCUGGCGGUCCAGUGGUUAAGACUCCGCACUCAUAGUGCAGGGGGCCCAGGUUCAAUCCCUGGUCAGGGAA